ensembl:antisense BC051226 cDNA sequence BC051226
CCGUACGGCACCGGCCUGCUCCGCGGCGAGGCGUGGAGCUCUUUGCACCAGGAGCUUGCCGAAGCCGCUCGGCCAAUCAGAAACUCCAGCCUCAGACCUGCCCCACAACCCCAAGCCAUCGCGUGGAGUCGCAUCGGAGCCGCGGAGAAAAGGAAGAGGGGGAAACCACUGUGAUGCCCGCCCGGCCCAGGGUGGGGAGGCAAGGUCCGCAGGUGUUGAUGAGGAAGCCUGAACGUCAACACUCUGCGCGGAGACUUCGGCUCUGCAGCCUUCCUUCCACGGUGGUGGGCAUCUUGCCAAUUUGCAGGACCAAGAAAGAAGCCCAGCUGCUCUCAGAGGACCCGAACUUCAAUUUUAAACCCACCUCCUCUCAUUGUGUCCGGCCUUCUGGGCUUACAGCAUUUCAAUAGGAGCGGGGUGGGGUGGGGUG